GACAGAGGGUGCAAACGUUGUUCGGAAUUACUGGGCGUAAAGCGCGUGUAGGCGGCCCUGCAAGUCGGAUGUGAAAUCCCACGGCUCAACCGUGGAAGUGCAUUCGAAACUGCAGGGCUAGAGUCCUGGAGAGGAGGUGGAAUGCUUGGUGUAGAGGUGAAAUUCGUAGAUAUCAAGCGGAACACCGGUGGCGAAGGCGGCCUUCUGGACAGUGACUGACGCUGAGACGCGAAAGCGUGGGGAGCAAACAGG
rnacentral:rRNA from 1 species